rnacentral:rRNA from 1 species
UACGUAGGGGGCAAGCGUUGUCCGGAUUUAUUGGGCGUAAAGAGCGUGUAGGCGGUCAGGUAGGUCGGUUGUGAAAACCCGGGGCUCAACUCCGGGCCUGCAGCCGAUACGGGCAGACUAGAGUUCGGCAGGGGAGACUGGAAUUCCUGGUGUAGCGGUGAAAUGCGCAGAUAUCAGGAGGAACACCGGUGGCGAAGGCGGGUCUCUGGGCCGAUACUGACGCUGAGGAGCGAAAGCGUGGGGAGCGAACAGG